rnacentral:rRNA from 1 species
GCCCAGUGCUCUAAAUGUCAACGUGAAGAGAUUCAUCAAAGCGCGGGUAAACGGC